rnacentral:tRNA from 1 species
UGGGGUGUGGCUCAGUGGCAGAGUGCUUGCCUAGCAUGUAUGAGGCACUGGAUUCAAUCCCCAGCACCACAU